rnacentral:rRNA from 1 species
GACAGAGGGGGCAAGCGUUGCUCGGAAUCACUGGGCGUAAAGCGCACGUAGGCGGAUUGCUAAGUCAGGGGUGAAAUCCUGGAGCUCAACUCCAGAACUGCCUUUGAUACUGGCGACCUUGAGUCCGGGAGAGGUGAGUGGAACUGCGAGUGUAGAGGUGAAAUUCGUAGAUAUUCGCAAGAACACCAGUGGCGAAGGCGGCUCACUGGCCCGGUACUGACGCUGAGGUGCGAAAGCGUGGGGAGCAAACAGG